GCGCCCGUAGCUCAACCGGAUAGAGCCCCGGCCUUCUAAGCCGGUGGUUGCAGGUUCGAGUCCUGCCGGGCGCGCCA
rnacentral:tRNA from 1 species